rnacentral:tRNA from 2 species
GGGCCAGUAGCUCAGUUGGUUAGAGCUGACGACUCAUAAUCGUCCGGUCGUAGGUUCAAGUCCUACCUGGCCCACCA